rnacentral:rRNA from 1 species
GUGAGUAAUAUAUCGGAACGUGCCCAAUCGUGGGGGAUAACGCAGCGAAAGCUGUGCUAAUACCGCAUACGAUCUAAGGAUGAAAGCGGGGGAUCGCAAGACCUCGCGCGAGUGGAGCGGCCGAUAUCAGAUUAGCUGGUCGGUGAGGUAAAGGCUCACCAAGGCGACGAUCUGUAGCUGGUCUGAGAGGACGACCAGCCACACUGGAACUGAGACACGGUCCAGACUCCUACGGGAGGCAGCAGUGGGGAAUUUUGGACAAUGGGCGCAAGCCUGAUCCAGCAAUGCCGCGUGCAGGAUGAAGGCCUUCGGGUUGUAAACUGCUUUUGUACGGAGCGAAAAGGUUCUCUCUAAUAAAGAGGGCUCAUGACGGUACCGUAAGAAUAAGCACCGGCUA